UACAGAGACUGCAAGCGUUAUUCGGAUUCACUGGGCGUAAAGAGCGCGCAGGCGGUCGUUCAAGUCGAGUGUGAAAGCCCCCGGCUCAACUGGGGGGGGUCACUCGAUACUGAUCGACUCGAAGGCAGGAGAGGGAAGUGGAAUUCCCGGUGUAGUGGUGAAAUGCGUAGAUAUCGGGAGGAACACCAGUGGCGAAGGCGACUUCCUGGCCUGUUCUUGACGCUGAGGCGGCGAAAGCUAGGGUAGCAAACGGG
rnacentral:rRNA from 1 species